UGCGAGUGAAGCGGCAAAAGCUCAAAUUUGAAAUCGGUGUGCCUAAAGUACAUUGAGUUGUAAUUUGGAGGGACAACUUCGGGCUGAACCACACCGUAAGUUCCUUGGAACAGGACAUCAUAGAGGGUGAGAAUCCCGUGUCUUGGUGUCGGGUCAAACCAUGUGAAGUGUCUCCGACGAGUCGAGUUGUUUGGGAAUGCAGCUCAAAAUGGGUGGUAAAUUUCAUCUAAAGCUAAAUAUUGGCGAGAGACCGAUAGCGCACAAGUAGAGUGAUCGAAAGAUGAAAAGCACUUUGAAAAGAGAGUCAAAAAGUACGUGAAAUUGUUGAAAGGGAAGCGCUUACGACCAGACUCGAUCUUUGGUGAUCAGCCGGACUUCGGUUCGGUGCCCUCGCCUUUGAUUGGGCCAGCAUCGGUUCUGACGGUGGGAUAAAAGGAGGAGGAAUGUAGCUCCUCUCGGGGAGUGUUAUAGCCACCUUCACAAUGCUACCAGUCUGGACCGAGGACCGC
rnacentral:rRNA from 1 species